rnacentral:lncRNA from 1 species
UCCCACAACACGUCCAACUUCUCACACCUUCCAAAGAGACUCGGAUGUUUGAAUAGAGAGCCUAAGAGUAAGACAUUUCCUAAUAAAAAAUCCGCACAUACCAAGUAAAAUUUUAGUUAAAAACUUACGGAAGUAACGUAAAUUUGCAUCAUUUCGCAGUCGAACCGUUCAAUUCUGACAUUUUGCGCCCUGAGGAAUUAUUUCUCGCACCCGGUGCAUCGACACAUCUGGGCACGCCAGUUACUUAUCGGACGAUGGAUAAUGAAUUGGGCAUUGAUGCACGGAUGCACUGGGCGCAAGCGGCAAUGUGAGACCCCAGAUAGUCCUAUAUAUAAGAUAAAAUAGGGCUAAACUCUUAACCCGGCUUAAGCAUUUUGGGUGGUGGCAAGGCCCAAGAGGUUAAGAGAG